UACGUAGGGUGCAAGCGUUAAUCGGAAUUACUGGGCGUAAAGCGUGCGCAGGCGGUUUGCUAAGACAGGUGUGAAAUCCCCGGGCUUAACCUGGGAACUGCGCUUGUUACUGGCAGGCUUGAGUGUGGCAGAGGGGGGUGGAAUUCCGACGUUGUAGCAGUGAAAUGCGUAGAUAUCUGGAGGAACACCAGUGGCGAAAGCGCGUGACUGGGCCACAACUGACGCUGAGGAACGAAAGCCAGGGGAGCGAAAGGG
rnacentral:rRNA from 1 species